ACAACUCUAUGGGCUAUCAAUGAAAUGUCAAAAUACUGACGACAACAAAAAACACAUCGUUUACAAAUAUGUCAGUACUAAAGUUAAAAUCAUUAAAUGAAUUAAAAAAAAAAUAAGAAACUAAAAAAGAUCACAACUUCACAAAAAUCACAAGGCGACAUAACCUUAUUAAAGUAAAUCUCCAAUUACUAUUAGAUACGGAUUAAAACAGAAGAAAAAAUAACAACCGUACCUUAAAAUCUAGGAAAGACCACCAUAGGAAACCGAGCGGUACACAGCCAAACAAACAACACCAGCCGUUGAUGAAAUGUCCAGAUUAAAUUGCCCAAUCAAUCCAUCAAUUGUACGAUGUAAUAUUAAAACGUGCUCGCGUUGCGGGCACGAACGUGUAUAUUAUUGAUUGUAAUAAAUUUUUAUCCUUGAUGUGUACCAUUCAA